rnacentral:rRNA from 1 species
CGCCUGUUUAUCAAAAACAUAGCCUUUAGCCAGACAAGUAUUGAAGGUAAUGCCUGCCCAGUGAAGCCACUUUCAACGGCCGCGGUACCCUAACCGUGCAAAGGUAGCGUAUCAUUUGUCCACUAAUUAUGGACCUGUAUGAAAGGCCACAUGAGAAUCUAACUGUCUCUUGUAACUAAUUUAUAAAACUGAUCUUCUAGUCCAAAAGCUAGAAUAUUUAUAUAAGACGAGAAGACCCUGUGAAGCUUAAAAAAUCCUAUUAAGCCUAUUAAUAGGUAUUUUUAGUUGGGGCAACUUUGGAAAACAACUUAACUUCCAAA